GACGUAGGGCGCAAGCGUUGUCCGGAAUUACUGGGCGUAAAGGGCUCGUAGGCGGCCAACUAAGUCCGACGUGAAAUCCCCAGGCUUAACCUGGGAACUGCGUCGGAUACUGGAUGGCUUGAAUUCGGGAGAGGGAUGCAGAAUUCCAGGUGUAGCGGUGAAAUGCGUAGAUAUCUGGAGGAAUACCGGUGGCGAAGGCGGCAUCCUGGACCGACAUUGACGCUGAUGAGCGAAAGCUAGGGGAGCAAACGGG
rnacentral:rRNA from 1 species